ensembl:lncRNA
CUGGAGAGGAGAAGAUAGGACCAGAGGAGAGGAGAAGAGAGGGCUGGAGAGGGGAAGAUAGGACCAGAGGAGAGGAGAAGAGAGUGCUGGAGAGGAGAAGAUGGGACCAGAGGAGAGGAUAAAAGAGGGCUGGAGAGGAGAAGAUAGGACCAGAGGAGAGGAGAAGAGAGGGCUGGAGAGGAGAAGAUAGGACGAGAGGAGAAGAGAGGGCUGGAGAGGAGAAGAUAGGACCAGACGAGAGGAGAAGAAAGGGCUGGAGAGGAGAAGAUAGGACCAGAGGAGAGGAGAAGAGAGGGCUGGAGAGGAGAAGAUAGGACCAGACGAGAGGAGAAGAAAGGGCUGGAGAGGAGAAGAUAGGACCAGAGGAGAGGAGAAGAGAGGGCCGGAGAGGAGAAGAUAGGGCCAGAGGAGAGGAGAAGAUAGGAGGAGAGAGGGCUGGAGAGGAGAAGAUAGGACCAGAGGAGAGGAGAAGAGGGGGCUGGAGAGGAGAAGAUAGGAGGAGAGGAGAGGAGAAGAGAGGGCUGG